AGGCUCACCCCCGGGGCACUGGAAGAGGUCCCGACCAUUGAGAGACCCUUCACUGGACUCACCAGAACGAUUACCUGAAGGAGAACAGGUGUGCCCACGAGGCUUCUUGCUCAAAAGAGAAAGCUAAGCUACAGCACGGCCAGAUGUGACUUCUCCUGGUAUCACCAGCUUAGGUCAUCACUUAGGUGACCUAAGGGCCUGGUUUGGGUCACAAAACCCUUCAUCCACUGGGUUAGACAGGCUGUCCUCACUUCCAGAAACUGCCCCCUGGCUGGGAUUCAGCAUUUCCAGAAACGGCCUCCCUUGCUGACCGAUGGAUAGAUUAGGAGGGGUGACCUCAGCCGGUAAGUGCCCAGCUCACAAGAACUCAGACAUGUGUUGUCUGGGAACCUCGACCACAGAGAUCCAGAAAUGUGAAGUGUUCAGGUGCCUCCGUCCCUUACGGAGGCCAGCUCCUAGGUACACCAAGCUGCAGCACGGGUGGUAUGUUCGUGUGACAUUGUCAACACGGAGCAGGCCACACUCUGUUCUCGUUUAGCCUCGAAAUCAACGUCGUGUGCACGAGACCUCAACUUCGCCGUGUGACUGUGAAGGACAGAAGUAGGGUCAGCAGGCAGAACUGAGAUUCCGACUCAUCACGAGGACUUUCCAACAACAAGAGUGACAGCCUGGGGACGGAUGUGCUGAAAGAGGAUUUAAGACUGCUUCCAAGUCCACUGUCAAUUGCGACACUCUCUCAAACCACCCUGGACUCACUGAGAGUGACUCGUCCACAGAGGCACAAAUGUAUUAAGCAGAACAGCGACAUGACAACUCACACCUUAAAAAGCGCACAGUAUUAUACUUCUUAACGGAGCCUCGAAAGAGGCUCAUAUCUGGUGUCUGCCUGCAUCCAGGAGUUUUCAUGGGGAAAACAGAAAUCAGAUUCUUUUGGCUACUUCUUGUGGCUUUUAGGCUUCAUCCUAGAAAACCAGUUUUCACAUCGUUGCAGACUGGAAGAAACAGGUGGAAACUCCACCCCCCGCCGCCUUGUCGAUGCCACAGAGAUGUGGCAGGACCACCCAGCUCUGCAGAGCGCUCAGCAGACGGACUCAGGCCCCAUCACCCGCACUCAUUCCAGAACAUCUGCUUUUCCCUUUGCAGAAUUUAUUAUUUUUCAGCUGUCUUCAGCCACUCUUUCUGGCUCCUUGAUUACGCAUUACAAACCAGCACAUGCUAGCAUUUACACAGUGCUCGGGGCAAGGAACAGCCUAGCCUGUCUCGGGGACUCUGAAAAGCCAUAUGAAAUCAUGGGACGUUUCCUCCCUCUGGCAGCGGUGGAAUCAUUUUAGUCUUGUCGCUCUGAAGUGGAUGGGCAGCCUGCAGUCUCUCUCACACCCUUAAAAAUGUUCCUCCAAAGAAAAGACACAGAUUUUAGUCCAUCUGCGGACCAUCUGCAGAAACAGAAGAGCCCAUUGAGAGUUUCUGGACCCUCCCCCCCCAGCCAUUCAGACCAGUUCUCUGGCCGGGCGUGGCUUUCUGUGUGGUUCUCAAAAUACACACAUCACACGAAUGGUGCUAUCUCACAGCCAUAAGGGCCCCAUCAGGGCCAGAGGAGGAGAGUGGACAGUGUGACAGGGAGAAAUCACUGUGACAUCUGUGUGCGCUUUUCAGAGAUGGAUGAGAAGACACAUAACGAUUAUUCAGAAAAAAUAAAGGCAGAGCCUGACCCCGCGGUGGCCCUCACAUCCAGAAAGUCUGCUGUGUGACAAGGUGCUUACACUUAACCUAGGCCAUUUCUCCAAGAUCAGAACUAGAGACAAGGCAGAAAUUAAAGAGGAGGGUGAAAGCCGUCUGCUGGACGAACGCUAACACCCGCCCUUGGAAGCACCUCCCACCCGGCUCCCUCGGCUGCUGUUCUGACCCCGCGGACGUUUGAGCAAAGUCGGAAACCCACUAGUGGGGAUGUUGCAACUGCCAUCCUUGAGUGGACGUGACUUCAGAUUCUGUCCUUUUCACCAAAGCUGAGUCCUCAGCGCAUCGCAGGGUCUGUUUUGGGGGACAAGUGUCUUUCAUUUGGUUCAGAAAUAGUUUGGGGGGGAAACAGGAGGAACUUUUAUCAGUGAAGUUAUCGGCAAUUCCCGUCCCUCCACCUAAGCGCCCCCUUCUGUUCUGUUCUCUGCAGCGCAGCCAGUACCACGCCUGCUCCACGUCCCUGCGGUCGAUCAGUGUGCAUCUGCCCAAUUCCAUGUCUUCAAAGUGCGAGGGAAGUGCACUGAGCUGUUCCUAUGUGACAAGUCCUCUCUCCUCUUAACGUAUUGAGGGCCACGUCUCAUACCUUGUGACUCUGAGGAAGAAUCCCGUGAAGAAAUCGGUGCAGGACAGGGGCCAGAGUGACGGGAAAGGAGCAGGCUGUUUUGCUGAGUGGGAGCCCCCUGACAUCUGGGACAGGCGACCUCGCACCUCCUUGACGGAAACCACCCUUCUCGUGUCACACAUUUGCUGUCAGGAUGAGAGAAAGCAGAGAGAACAACAAAAGCCGGGAUCUGCACCGGAAGUCAUGAGUUUCUGUCUCGGUCCCACCGCUCUGCAGCGAUGGAGUUGUUCAGCCUCUCCAAGUCUCAGUUUCCUCAUAAAGCAGGCUUGUAGGAACCCCCACAGCCACUCCUGACAUCCUCUCCUCCCCGCCACCACGUGGUCAGAUCCGCCCUGGGACCAAGGACCAGAAAAAGAAAUCAGACACAAAUGAAGCAGACAGAGCAACAGCCUGAAGCCAUGAUUCAGAGACGGCUUGACCACUUCUGCCUACACUCCUAGAAUAUCCAGAAUAGGGGAAAAACCAGCACAUUCUCCUUUAUUCACAGAGCAGUUCUGGCGUGGAGGUGACAGCGCACAAAGGGCUAUUCCUGAUAAUGCAGGGUCUCCCUGUUGCAGAAAGAGGCUUUGGAGUCAGAUAUAAAAUCUGGCCGCACCAUUCAUGGGCUGUGUGAUCUUAAUUAGUGUAUUAUCUCUGAGCCUGAGUUUCCUGAUAGCUGACUGAAGAGAGCCCUGCCUACCUCCCGGUUGGCGGGGCAAACAUAAAAUACGGGUGCAGCAAGAGGACCUGACAGGAUAAAAUGAGCAUCGCUGUCCCUGCCUUGCCAUUUCGAACAAGGUCAGAUCCUCUGCUUGCGUUCGUCAGUUACACCUGCAGCACCCUGGCAGCAGGGUGAAAAGCGAAAGCCUUGGAACUAGUCACCAGCCCAACAACUCAGGGCCGGCAACUCCCGAAUAACCCGCCAAGCUCUGCCAGCGGUUAAGGAUUCAGCCUCCCCUGUAGACCUGUACACCGGAGGCAGUCGGAUCAUCACUUCUAAUCACCUAUUCACUGGGUUGCUUUUUGUUUCAGCACUGCCGGGGCAGAGGCUGGGGCCGGGAGGGGCCGGGAGGGGCGCAGCCAGCUCCCACACUACAGGAAGGACGCGGCCCAACCAAUUCAUUUCACCUUCUGCAUUUAUUUUUAACUGUGAUAAGAACGCUUAUUAUGAUAUUCGCCCUCCUAACAGAGGUUUCAGUGCAGGACCCAGGGCUGUGAACCACAGGCACGGUGCUGUAGGCAGGUCUGCAGAACUGCACUCAACUCUCAGAGCUGAAACUUCACAUCCACCCAACAGCAACUUCCCCAUUUCCCCCACCCUCCCUGCCCCUGGCGGCCACCAUUCGCCUGCUUCUCUGAGUGUCACUGCUUGGGCUAAUAUAUGUAGUAUGUGUCCUUCUGUGACCAGCUUACAUCCCCCAGGUUCAUUUUGUUUCACAUGCCGGGGUUUCCUUCUACUUUAAGGCCUGUGUGUAAAUAUACACGUUUUCUUUAUUCAUUCAUCCAUCAACGGCCACUUAGGUUCUUCCACGCCUUGGCCACUGUGAAUAACGCUGCAGUGAGCACGGGAGUGCAGAGAUCUCUCUGAGGCCCUGCUUUCCCUCCCUUGGGCUAUCCAAAAGCGGGACUGAUGGGUAUCGGAUAUACAGCAGCUCUACUUUUAACUUCGUGAGGAACCGCCAUCCUGUUUCCCACAGCGGCUGCACCAAAUCGCUGUCCCACCAAGAGCGCACAAGGGCCCCCUUUCCUGCGCCCUCGCCGACGCUUGUCUUUUGUCUUUUUGAUAACGGCCGUUCUAACAGGUACAAGGCGGUGCCUCGCCGUGGUUUCCGGUUGCGUUUCCCCGAUGAGCAGUGACUCGGAGCAUCUUUUCAUGUGCCUGCUGGCCAUUUGUAUGUGUUCUUUGGAGCAAUGUCUACUCAGUUCCUCAGAUCAUUUUUAACAGGGUUAUUUGUAUUUUUGCUCUUAAGUUGGAAGAGUUUCUUGUAACAUUUUUAGAUGUUAACUACUUAUCAGAUACAUAUAUCUCUCCAAUAUACAUAUUCUGCUCUUCUGCGGUCACGUUUUUAUUCUGUUGACUGUUUUCCUGGCUGUGCAGCUUCUUAGUUUCAUGUAGCCCCACUUAUUUGUUUUGUUUUGUUGUUUGUGCCAGUGGUAUCAUAUCCAGUAAAUCACUGGCAAGACCACUGGCGAAAGAAAUUAAAGACACAAGUAAAUGCAAAAACACUCUGUGUUCAUGGAUUGAUUGGAAGACUUAAUAUUGU